rnacentral:rRNA from 1 species
ACAUUGGGCGGCAAGCCUGAUCCCAGCCAUGCCGCGUGUGUGAAGAAGGCUUAUGGUGUAAAGCACUUUAAGCGAGGAGGAGGCUACUUUAGUUAAUACCUAGAGAUAGUGGACGUUACUCGCAGAAUAAGCACGGGCUAACUCUGUGCCAGCAGCCGCGGUAAUACAGAGGGUGCAAGCGUUAAUCGGAUUUACUGGGCGUAAAGCGCGCGUAGGCGGCUAAUUAAGUCAAAUGUGAAAUCCCCGAGCUUAACUUGGGAAUUGCAUUCGAUACUGGUUAGCUAGAGUGUGGGAGAGGAUGGUAGAAUUCCAGGUGUAGCGGUGAAAUGCGUAGAGAUCUGGAGGAAUACCGAUGGCGAAGGCAGCCAUCUGGCCUAACACUGACGCUGAGGUGCGAAAGCAUGGGGAGCAAACAGGAUUAGAUACCCUGGUAGUCCAUGCCGUAAACGAUGUCUACUAGCCGUUGGGGCCUUUGAGGCUUUAGUGGCGCAGCUAACGCGAUAAGUAGACCGCCUGGGGAGUACGGUCGCAAGACUAAAACUCAAAUGAAUUGACGGGGGCCCGCACAAGCGGUGGAGCAUGUGGUUUAAUUCGAUGCAACGCGAAGAACCUUACCUGGCCUUGACAUAGUAAGAACUUUCCAGAGAUGGAUUGGUGCCUUCGGGAACUUACAUACAGGUGCUGCAUGGCUGUCGUCAGCUCGUGUCGUGAGAUGUUGGGUUAAGUCCCGCAACGAGCGCAACCCUUUUCCUUAUUUGCCAGCGAGUAAUGUCGGGAACUUUAAGGAUACUGCCAGUGACAAACUGGAGGAAGGCGGGGACGACGUCAAGUCAUCAUGGCCCUUACGGCCAGGGCUACACACGUGCUACAAUGGUCGGUACAAAGGGUUGCUACCUAGCGAUAGGAUGCUAAUCUCAAAAAGCCGAUCGUAGUCCGGAUUGGAGUCUGCAACUCGACUCCAUGAAGUCGGAAUCGCUAGUAAUCGCGGAUCAGAAUGCCGCGGUGAAUACGUUCCCGGGCCUUGUACACACCGCCCGUCACACCAUGGGAGUUUGUUGCACCAGAAGUAGCUAGCCUAACUGCAAAGAGGGCGGUACCACGGUGGCCGC